AGUAGGGAAUCUUGGACAAUGGGCGAAAGCCUGAUCCAGCCAUGCCGCGUGGGGGAUGAAGGCCUUCGGGUCGUAAACCCCUUUUCUGGGGGACGAACGAGCAGAGGAGGAAAUGCCUUUGCUGUGACGGUACCCCAGGAAUAAGCAACGGCUAACUCCGUGCCAGCAGCCGCGGUAAUACGGAGGUUGCAAGCGUUGUUCGGAAUUACUGGGCGUAAAGGGAGCGCAGGCGGUCGGGUGUGUCUGAAGUGAAAGCCCGUGGCUUAACCACGGAAGUGCUUUGGAUACUGCCCGGCUUGAGUACGCGAGAGGAGAGCGGAAUUCCAGGUGUAGCGGUGAAAUGCGUAGAUAUCUGGAGGAACACCGGUGGCGAAAGCGGCUCUCUGGCGCGUUACUGACGCUCAGGCUCGAAAGCGUGGGGAGCAAACAGGAUUAGAUACCCUGGUAGUCCACGCCGUAAACGUUGUGCGCUAGGUGU
rnacentral:rRNA from 1 species